rnacentral:rRNA from 1 species
AACGUAGGACACAAGCGUUAUCCGGAGUUACUGGGCGUAAAGGGCGUGUAGGCGGACUUGUAAGUCUAUUCUGAAAGCUCCUGGCUAAACUGGGAGAGGCGAAUGGAGACUGCAAAUCUAGAGUGAGGAAGAGGAAAGUGGAAUUCCGCGUGUAGCGGUGAAAUGCGUAGAUAUCGGGAGGAACAUCAGUGGCGAAGGCGAGUCUCUGGACGACACCUGACACUGAGGCACGAAAGCUAGGGGAGCAAACAGG